UUUUCUAUUGAUUGAGUCCCCAUAAAAGAUUUUGUGUGUAAUGAAGAAUCGGUGAAACAAAGAAUCUCUUCUUUUCAUCCAAAUGCAACAUAUCACAUGGAUAGUGCCCUCUUUAGUCCUUAUCUCUAUUGCUUCUUCAAUUUCAUUUAUCAAAUUUGUAUUUUAUUUGAAUUGUGUCAAAACAACAUUGUAUUUAUGAAGGUUUAAUUAAUUUUUUUUAAUGAGGUUACUACUGAAUUCUCUAUAAAAGAAUGAUUUUAAUAUUGUAGGUGAUGUAUAAUUGAUGUGUAUUUAUGUGUUAUUAUUUAAAAUUCAUGUCAGUUUUAAGUUUUUAUAAUUGUUCACGUUUUUUUUUUGUUUUUUUCGUAUCUUUCUCAUUUCACUCCAUUUCAAUAAUCUAUACUUCAAGAAUUUACCAGAUUAAAAAGGUCUUUUCCAUUCCGACCAAGAGCUGUUCAAUAGCGAUUCUACGGACAAACUAGUGAAGAAAUAUGCUACUAAUACAGAUGCAUUCUUUAAAGUCUUUGCAAAUGGCAUGGUCAAAAUAAGCAACAUCUGUGGUGGUGUGGAGCGGAUUCGGGAUUUUGCUAGCUGAGUAGGAGUUUCCCUUCUUCUCCUUCGUCUUUCAAGCCGUUCUUCGUUUACCUCUCGUUGUUAUUCUUCCCGAAGCUCGAUUUCCUUGAUUUGAGUGUGUAGGCCGAAAGGUUGAAGUGUGUAGGCCGAAAGGCUGAAGUGUGUAGGCCAAAAGGCUGAGGUGCGGUAGGAGAUCUCCGAGGUGAUAUGCGUGACGACGCAUUGUGUGUGCAUUGAUAAACCGUGUGAGCAGGGCUAGAUUUGUGAUAGGAGCAAGCUUAUAGCUGGCAGAGGACGGGGAGUCUUAACUGGCUGAUGUUUUGGACGUUAAGCCACUAUCUGGCUAUUUUGGAUUGUAUUUUAUUUUACGCCCUAACUCUAGUCGGAUUGGAACAUUUGUAUAUAUUUAUAUUCUAGAUCCUAUAUUUAUAUACUCGUUCUAUUUUGUCUAGUGUUUCCGGUGUGCUGCGGUUAUGAGUGUGGUGACUUGCCGGGUCGUUACAACAUCAAGACUCUCAC